rnacentral:rRNA from 1 species
GGCGAGUGGCGAACGGGUGAGUAAUGCAUCGGAACGUACCCAGUAGUGGGGGAUAACUUACCGAAAGGUAAGCUAAUACCGCAUACGCACUGAGGUGGAAAGCAGGGGACCGCAAGGCCUUGCGCUAUUGGAGCGGCCGAUGUCGGAUUGGCUAGUUGGUGGGGUAAAGGCCUACCAAGGCGACGAUCCGUAGCGGGUCUGAGAGGAUGAUCCGCCACACUGGAACUGAGACACGGUCCAGACUCCUACGGGAGGCAGCAGUGGGGAAUUUUGGACAAUGGGCGCAAGCCUGAUCCAGCCAUGCCGCGUGAGUGAAGAAGGCCUUCGGGUUGUAAAGCUCUUUCGGCCGGGAAGAAAUCGUGGUGGCUAAUACCUGCCAUGGAUGACGGUACCGGACUAAGAAGCACCGGCUAACUACGUGCCAGCAGCCGCGGUAAUACGUAGGGUGCGAGCGUUAAUCGGAAUUACUGGGCGUAAAGCGUGCGCAGGCGGUUGUGUAAGACAGGCGUGAAAUCCCCGGGCUCAACCUGGGAACUGCGCUUGUGACUGCACGGCUAGAGUACGGCAGAGGGGGGUGGAAUUCCACGUGUAGCAGUGAAAUGCGUAGAGAUGUGGAGGAACACCGAUGGCGAAGGCAGCCCCCUGGGUCGAUACUGACGCUCAUGCACGAAAGCGUGGGGAGCAAACAGGAUUAGAUACCCUGGUAGUCCACGCCCUAAACGAUGUCGACUAGUUGUUGGAGGGGUAAAACCCUUUAGUAACGUAGCUAACGCGUGAAGUCGACCGCCUGGGGAGUACGG